CCUACGGGUGGCAGCAGUGGGGAAUAUUGGGCAAUGGGCGCAAGCCUGACCCAGCAACGCCGCGUGAAGGAAGACGGCUCUCGGGUUGUUAACUUCUUUUGACAGGGAAGUGUAAUAGACGGUACCUGUCGAAUAAGCCACGGCUAACUACGUGCCAGCAGCCGCGUUCAUACGUAGGUGGCAAGCGUUGUCCGGAUUUACUGGGUGUAAAGGGCGUGUAGCCGGGUUGACAAGUCAGAUGUGAAAUCCUGCGGCUUAACCGCAGAACUGCGGUUGAAACUGUUGCUCUUGAGUACUGGAGAGGCAGACGGAAUUCCUAGUGUAGCGGUGAAAUGCGUAGAUAUUAGGAGGAACACCAGUGGCGAAGGCGGUCUGCUGGACAGCAACUGACGGUGAGGCGCGAAGGCGUGGGGAGCGAACAGGAUUAGAUACCCGAGUAGUC
rnacentral:rRNA from 1 species